UACAGAGGUCCCAAGCGUUGUCCGGAUUUACUGGGCGUAAAGAGCGCGCAGGCGGUUGGAUAAGUCGAAUGUGAAAGCCCCCGGCUCAACUGGGGAGGGUCAUUCGAUACUGUCCGACUCGAAGGCAGGAGAGGGAAGCGGAAUUCCCGGUGUAGUGGUGAAAUGCGUAGAUAUCGGGAGGAACACCAGUGGCGAAGGCGGCUUUCUGGCCUGUUCUUGACGCUGAUGCGCGAAAGCCAGGGGAGCGAACGGG
rnacentral:rRNA from 1 species